AGUCGUGUGGCCGAGUGGUUUAAGGCGGCAGUUUUAAGCACUGCUCCGAAAGGAUCGCGGGUUCAAACCCCGUCGCGACUA